rnacentral:lncRNA from 1 species
UCUGAGCCGCAUCACUAGCAUAUUCAGAAGCCUCUUUGCUUUUCUGAGCAGCAUCACCAACAUAGUCUUUGGUCUUCUGAGCCGUCUCACUGGCAUAAUCAGAAGCUUCUUUGCUCUUGUGAGAAGCAUCACCAGCAUAAUCUUUGCUCUUGUGCGCUGCAUCAUUUGCAUAAUCUUUGAUAUUCUGUACAGCAUCACCCGCAUAAUCUUUGCUCUUUUGAGCAUAAUCUUUGGCAUUCUGUGCUACAUCACCCGCAUAUUCUUUGCUCUUUUGAGCACCAUCACUUGCAUGGUCCUUGGUCCUCUGCGCAGCAUCACUUGCAUAGUCCUUGGUCUUCUGCGCAGCACCACUGGCAUAGUCCUUGGUCUUCUGCGCACCACCACUGGCAUAGUCCUUGGUCUUCUGCGCAGCAUAAUCCUUAGUCUUUUUUGCAGCAUCAGUUGCAUCACUUGCAUAAUCCUUGGUCUUCUGAGCAGCAUAAUCUUUAGUCUUUUUUGCAGCAUCAGUUGCAUCACUUGCAUAGUCCUUAGUCUUCUGAGUAGCAUAAUCUUUGGUCUUCUGUGCUGCAUCAGUGGCAUAAUCCAUGGUCUUCUGAGCAGCAUCACCAACAUAUUCUUUGGUCUUUUGUGCAGCAUCACCGACAUAGCCCUUUGAUUUCUGAGCAGCAUCACCGGCAUAGUCCUUUGAUGUCUGUGCAGUGUCACCGGCAUAGUCCUUGGUUUUCUGAGCAGUGUCACCGGCAUAGUCCUUGGUUUUCUGAGCAGUGUCACCGGCAUAGUCCUUUGAUUUCUGAGCAGCAUCACCGGCAUAGUCAGAGACUUUCUUAGUGGUGGAUUCUUGAUCAUGUUUGAAGCCAAGACCUUCAGUGAGUUUCUCUUUAGCCCAUUCUGUCCAUGACUCUGCGGCUUCUUUCCCA